GCUGCCCCCCAGCCCCAGGACCCGACAGCUCUCCAGCAGUUGAGGUGGACUUGGGAGAACACCCACCAGAGACCAGAGCUGGAGAUUCUGGCCGGGGGAAAGUGAACUGAGAGGGGUUGCUCUCAGCCUGAACGUCAGGGAGGGGGUGAGAAUGAGAAGCUGCUGGACACAGACCCCGACAAUCUGAUCCAGACCUCCUAUUCGCUUUUGUGCCUCCAGCUACCCCAUCUUGCAGGCGGCAAACCCCAGGAGGAGUAAGGGACCCUUCGCGCUGGGUGCCGCAGGGCACCUGAGAGGCUGGUGCAGCCACAGCACUGAGACGGUGAGGAAAUGUCUACUUCAUUUGUGAUGAAAUCAUCAUCCUCGGAAAGUGAGAAACAAGUGUGUCUCGCAGCCACUCACCAAAGCUGAAGCUGGGAGAGGUUAUGGCCCAAGAUCAAGAGCAAGUUUGUGGCUAACUUGGUCCCCAAAGUCAGAUCUCCUGAUGCCGCUGUUCUACUUCACUGCAUGCCAUCUCGCAGCUGCCCAAAGACGGACGUGCUCACCACUCGGGCGCCAUUUGGAGACCCUGGCAAGAGAGUCUGAGGAUAGCAUCUUCAGACACGGAUCUUUCCUUAAGCCGAAGCUGUUCCCCAAUUCCAAAAAGUACAUGAUGUUCUGCUGAAUGCCAAGAUGAGAUUUUGCAUGCAAGAUCCCUUCAAAGCCCAACUUUCAGUUAUGCUGCUUUAUGAGACAGCACGUCUUCUGUGGAAGCUUAUUUCAUCGCCUGUCUCUUGGACGAAGGUGCUCUGUGGCUCUGAGCAUAUACCAUCUCCCCAGCGAUUAGGUAACUGAAUCCAUUGCAUUUAUUGGGCUUGGUUCCCGCCAGCACUAGGAAGAUGGGGAAAAUGCAAAUGCCAGCGUUCCCCAAAGUUAAAAGUACAUGAAACACAUACUCUUUAUCAGGCCUUGCUUCUCCUCUUUGAUCAGCCGUCAGUAACUAUCUGCCCUCGGCCGCCAGGGCUGGGCAGCGUCAGCCCACACUCUCUGCCAAUGACAGGUGGUAAUAGAGAGGGUGCGAGCCCCGGCCCCGGCAGGCGGCCCUGCCUCUGAUAAUGGCCAAAGCACUGAGGGAUAACGGCUCGUAAACACGCGGACAGCGGUGACUCCAUACAUCAGCAAAGAGGGCCAGAUAAUCCUGAACCCUCCUGACCAGACAAAGGCCCUUGACCGGCCCACAGGGAUUUAUGCGUGGCAAGGGUCAUCCCUGGCUCCUGAAUUUCAUCAGCCAAGCUUAGUUUUGAUUUAUCUCUUGACUAAUUGUAGGGUAGAUUCCUGGCACUGGGGGAAUGAGCAGCAUCUACAAAUGCAUCUCCCUAGUCCAAGGCCCACCCUGGGCGUGGGUGGCUUAGGACCAGCUAGUCAGAUGGGACUCAGUGGGAUGGAGAGCUGCCCUAUGCCAUAUCUCUCCACUAAGGAGGGUUAGGAGGUGGGACUGGGGAGCGAGGCACUGGGCAGUGGGGGUGGGUGCGCCGAUCUGAGUGGUCAGCCAAUCCUUCCAGUGCCGACCCUACCCAGGGCCAAGUCAACCAGCCACAGCAAUGAUUCCAAGGGGUUCAGGUCUCAAAGGACACACAGCUUUUGACAGCCCUGCCCACUCACUCAGUAAUGUUAGAGAAGUCUAUCUCCUAGUUCCAUCUUUGAAGUGGCAGGACUAACUCCUUGCCCUGCCCUGCCUCAAAGGAGUGAAGAGUUUAAGCAACGUUUCUGCCAAGAGUCUGCUUUCCUUCGGUAUGGCCCCAAGAGCCAAUACCUCAUUGUUUUACUCCGAAGGGUCUGCCUGGGUCAUUUAUGCUUAGUGAUUUCCAGAAUGGAGGGCAGUAAUACAAUGCUGGCAUGCCUCCUCCCUGUACACUUGAGAAGGCAGCCUCCUCACGGGUGGGUAGAGAGGCCUGGGCGGGUGGCUGCCUCUAAAAGCACCAUCAAUGCCUGUACACACUUUGUUCGAGACCAGGCAGGCCUGCUGGUGGCAGUGCCCAGAAGAACAUCAGAAGUCCAGAAAACUUUGAUAGCAAGUUCAGUUAAGAGGGUGGACUUGGCCCAAGACAGAUGGUAAAGGAUACGGGAGUCUCUAAGAUUUGUAGGGGCUAGACAACCGAAAAGAAACAGGAGCUGAUGUUAUGGUCACAAACAGCAACAGACCUGGACUUAAAUCUAGGUGUUCCCAUAUCAGCAGUAUGGUCAUGGGCAGGUAGUUUCAUCUUUUGUGAGUUUCUGGUUUCUCAUGCGGAAGCAAUUCGACCCUGUAGGGCUCUCGUGAGGAUUGCAUCUGAUGACUGUCAGUCUUCUGGCCCACAACAGAUGCUUCAUAUAUGAGGGGGAUUCAGAAAGUUGGUGGGAAAAUGGAAUGGGAAGAUAAGGGGAUUUUCCCACAAACGUUUUUGAAGCCCCUUUGCUGAAAAUGAAAACCAACCAACCAACAGAGCCAAACCGAUGAGAGCUGGGACGGGUGUAGGGCAGAAACCGGUCAGGGAAGGGAACGAGGAGGCCUUUCCCCUAAAACGAGCACCAGACAGAAUGAUCGAGGCAAAGGAAGGUGCUGGCCAGAGCCCUCACAUAACAGAGGUAAAUACUAUUACACACACACAGUCUAAGUGUGGAUACACACACACAGACAUCCAGCUGAACAUGUGGGAAGAUGAAAAGGACUACACCCACAAAUAAUAUACAAACCAUAUAGAUGCACAUAUAUACUUCACAGAGGAUAUUUACACUCAUGUAUGAGGGGCUUCAAACAUAGCCAUGAACAUAGUAGCGCGCACAGGGGCAAUGACCAUGGGGGGUGCGGGCCAGAGUUGAAAGGGCACUACGAAAGACAGACACUGUGCCACAUCCGACUUUGGUGAAGAGCAACCAGGGUCUUAAAACCCUUGUGAGGGGCCACUUACGGGGCGACCACUGGUCCUUCCCCACCCACAGCAAAGGGGAGUAAGGAAACCAAAGCUGCAAAGAAGAAUGAGUCCGCUGAGAACGAGUGGACCCCACGAACCCCAGCUUGGCCCUGAAAUAGGAAUCACGAGUUGACUGCUUUGAGGGGAUCGCAAUAGGAGGCCCGAACUGGAGUGGGGAAAAUGUGGGGCAAAAAUACAAAUGAUAAAAAAGGCCAGAUUGACUGGGGUGAUGGAGACUGGUAGGACCCUGAGACUGUGGUCCUGAGAACCCGUUCAGACCGGCAACAGAACUCGCCACCAUGGCUCGACUUGCAGUCCACCCAGAGGCAGGCCUCCAAGGUGCAGAGCAACAGCAGGGAGGUCUGUGCCCCCUGGAGCAACCUCCACGAGAGCCAACGGGAUCAAGUUCAAAAGGCAGGAAGGGCAAGGGAAAGAAAGGCAGAGGCUCCACUGUGGGGAUGCCGGUCAAUGUCCCCAAACAAAGUGUUAUGAAUCAUUACACGAACAACCAACACACUGUGUAAACUUCCACCCAAAUCACAAUAAAAAGUUAAACAAGA